GACGAACGCUGGCGGCGUGCCUAAUACAUGCAAGUUGAGCGCUGAAGGCUGGUACUUGUACCAACUGGAUGAGCAGCGAACGGGUGAGUAACGCGUGGGGAAUCUGCCUUUGAGCGGGGGACAACAUUUGGAAACGAAUGCUAAUACCGCAUAAAAACUUUAAACACAAGUUUUAAGUUUGAAAGAUGCAAUUGCAUCACUCAAAGAUGAUCCCGCGUUGUAUUAGCUAGUUGGUGAGGUAAAGGCUUACCAAGGCGAUGAUACAUAGCCGACCUGCGAGGGUGAUCGGCCACAUUGGGACGGAGACACGGCUCAAACUCCUGCGGGAGGCAGCAGUAGGGAAUCUUCGGCAAGUGGCGAAAGUCUGACCGUGCAACGCCGCGUGAGUGAAGAAGGUUUUCGGAUCGUAGAACUCUGUUGGUAGAUAAGAACGUUGGUGAGAGUGGAAAGCUCAUCAAGUGACGGUAACUACCCAGAAAGGGACGGCUAACUACGUG
rnacentral:rRNA from 1 species